GAACGCUGGCGGCGUGCUUAACACAUGCAAGUCGACCGGAAAGGCCCCUUUGGGGGUCCUCGAGUGGCGAACGGGUGAGUAACACGUGAGUAACCUGCCCUUGACUUCGGGAUAACUUCAGGAAACUGGGGCUAAUACCGGAUAGGAAUCCUUGCUGCAUGGUGGGGGUUGGAAAGCUUCGGCGGUUUUGGAUGGACUCGCGGCUUAUCAGCUUGUUGGUGGGGUAGUGGCUUACCAAGGCUUUGACGGGUAGCCGGCCUGAGAGGGCGACCGGCCACAUUGGGACUGAGAUACGGCCCAGACUCCUACGGGAGGCAGCAGUGGGGAAUAUUGCACAAUGGGCGGAAGCCUGAUGCAGCAACGCCGCGUGCGGGAUGACGGCCUUCGGGUUGUAAACCGCUUUCAGCAGGGGCGAAGCUUGUGGUGACGGUACCUGCAGAAGAAGCACCGGCUAACUACGUG
rnacentral:rRNA from 1 species